rnacentral:rRNA from 1 species
CUUUCAACAACGGAUCUCUUGGUUCCAGCAUCGAUGAAGAACGCAGCGAAAUGCGAUAAGUAAUGUGAAUUGCAGAAUUCAGUGAAUCAUCGAAUCUUUGAACGCACAUUGCGCCCCUCGGUAUUCCGGGGGGC